rnacentral:tRNA from 2 species
GAAAUAAAAGGUUUAAGUCAAAGCUUCUAACUUUGUAAUUUAGCGGUUUAACUCCGUUAUUAUUUCU